ACAGAGAUCACAUGAUGCCAGCGAGGCCCUGCCACGGCACUCACACGUAUGAGGAGCACUGGGGUUCCCAGGAGGUCUUGCAACAAGACAUGGAAUGCUGGCCCCACUGUGUCCCAGACUCUGUGAGACCCUGGGCCUCCCCUUCCUUGUCUGGGACGUGGUAAGGAGGGAGAACGUAGAUUACACGACUCUUCAGUGGGAUCUUGCAUCCUACAACUCCCUAACUCUCAAGAGGCCUGGCUCUCUGACAGCGAACAGACACGUGAGGAAUGUCUCCAUCCAGCGCAGUUAACUGCUCCUCACGGCAGCCGCCACUGCCACCCAGCUUCUCCUGGCGGGGCUCCAGGGCAAGCUUUUCUCCAGGUACAGUGUAACACGACCCCAUCCAGAACUGAAACGUCUUUGAAUUGUGGUUGGUAAGUACCACUAGCGCCUUGGGUUUAUAAAAAAGGGUAAAAUUUCUGCCUUGUACGGCAACUAUAAAAACUCUUAACCUAAUUUUCCAGCUGAGCCAAUUUCCAAUUAAAUGGUUUCAUGUCAGGAACAUCAACAUCUGGACGAGACUCUAACAGAUCCUGUGAUAAAUCAGCAGCUGCUGUGGGCAAAAGGUCACUCUAAUUCCAGAUUCUCUGCCUGGAAAACACCAAGACAUCAAAUCGCCACACAGAUUGUGUAAAAGCCACGAGGGACUCGUGUGGGAGAGAGUGUGGAGGGGAGCAGGACAGUCUUGGGUGGCAAGGCUGGAGAUCCCUGCGGCGUAGCUGUGAGCUCACAUAGUUGCUGGGGAUGCGACCCAGAGGUCACUAGGCAGCCUGUUCUGGGCCUGCGCCCCCUCACAGCAGAGCCUGGCACAUCACUGCAUCCCCAAAACAGAUCCAAUAGGUAACAAUGGUAAAAACAUACCGGGGGAGGUGGUGGGGAAGAGGGUUUACAGCACAGACUAUUUGACAAAGCUUCACGAAAUCCUAUUUAAACAUCUCAGCCAAUUCCCAAGAGUCCCCUCUGGGCCCUUGCGGCUUCUUCUUUCCUCCUUCUCCAGUCCCCCUUAGGGCCCUGUCUCCCUGCCUCCUGCUCUCAGCUGAGGCUCCAGCGCAGCCCUGGACCACCCCAGGGUCUCUCUCCAUCCUGUCCUUACACAGAGUGCCGCCCGCCUUCUCAGCAUCUAAUCGGCAACUCCCUGCCCAUGGCCCCAUGCGGCAAGCUGAGGACUCCCCUUAGGGCCCACUCGUCUUGAGAGGGAUAAGAGUGGGGCUGGGCUUGUGACUACCAAAACCUUUUCCUAGACAUAAUUUCCCCGACACAUAGGUAAGCCAUUUAGCACUGUAUCUAGCUCUUAAUGUAUGAACCAAAAUGGUAGAUUCUAGCAUUACCAAUAAAUAAUAUUAUUUUAGAAGGGGAAAAAUUCUGAUGCUCCCCUCUCCGUUCUCUUUGGACUUGAAGUUUACAUCAGUGGGUACUCUGUGGAUUUUGGUUUUAAGGACUUCCAUUCUUUGUGAUUCCCAAACUUUUCAUUCCAAAGAAAAACUUCGUAAGGACAUCACAAGGGCUUCUGCAAGAUUCUAAGUCUGUAGAUCUGGUCAGAAACCCAGGAAUCUGUAUUUUAACAACUUUCGCUAGUGAUUGACAUGUAGGCGCGUUACGGCCCACCUUCAAGAAACACUGUCUCUGGGCUCCCAGCUGGAGUGCCUUUCUCCCUCCCAUCCCUACGGCCGGGCCAGUUUCCUCGAAGCCAACGCCGGUCGUGUGCAUGCCCCAGUCCUGUAUGCGCUGCCUUCAUGAGCGCCACCCUAACCUCUCCCGAGUCUCGUGAGAAUCACCCCAAGUCAUUACUACCCACACUCCCGGCUCCUACCCUUACUUCCUUACAGCGUGUACACACAGCAGUGGUCGCAGCCACCACAAGAGGCAUCCUUCAGUAAUAAAUACAGUCUAGGUAGUUCUGCUCUGCACGACCCCUCCAGUGGCGGCUGAUCUCACUCAGAAUGAGAGUCUUGCAAGGUCCCUGUGAUCUGACCCAGCCGUCUCUCUGGCCUCAUUUCUACCGCUCUCCCUCCUUCACUCUGCUCCAGCCACAAAGGCCAGGCCAGGGGCCCUGUGCUUCCUGGCCCCU